GGGGAAUAUUGCGCAAUGGGGGAAACCAUGACGCAGCAAUACCGCGUGAGUGAAGAAGGUUUUCGGAUCGUAAAGCUCUGUUAUUGGGGAAGAAAAAAUGACGGUACCCAAGAAGAAAAUCCCGGCUAACUACGUGCCAGCAGCAGCGGUAAUACGUAGGGGACAAGCGUUGUCCGGAUUUACUGGGCGUAAAGGGCACGCAGGCGGUUUUUUAAGUCAGAUGUGAAAGGUACCGGCUCAACCGGUAACAUGCAUUUGAAACUGAAAGACUUGAGUAUUGGAGAGGCAAGAGGAAUUCCUAGUGUAGCGGUGAAAUGCGUAGAUAUUAGGAGGAACACCAGUGGCGAAGGCGACUUUCUGGACUACAACUGACGCUGAGGCACGAAAGCGUGGGGAGCAAACA
rnacentral:rRNA from 1 species